AUUUUGUGUUUGUUCUUUCUUGUAAAGCUAUUAUUGCAUUCCAUAUUAACAUUAUAUAUGGGAGCCAAGCUCUUGAACUGACAUCCUAAUAUUGCUAUACAAUUCACCAGCCUGACCACAGCCGAUAUCCCUCGCCUCUUCAUCACAGGAGAUUGAGGAUUCGAGCCUCCAGGAUCAAAAGUAAGCAGAGUAAAAGGCAUAUUGGUUCAGCUCUUAGGCAAUAGAAGUUUGAGCUUGAGAUAGUGGAGAGAAAAUGGGUUGAAAAAUGUGAUUUUGAUGAAUGGGUUGUUCAACGAGUUACUUGGACAGAACUUAAUAAGGGCGAAGAUUCAGUGGUUGCGUGAAUGGAAGGAGCGGGUAUAAGUACUUAUGUUGGUUUGAUCCUCCUGUUUGUGACACAACACGUAGAGUGAUUUCUGAUUUUUGCGUCAAAUUAAAGAGUACGGAGAUGAAAUGAAGCGUUUGAAGAUGGUGCACAUGGAUGAACUACAAGAAGUGAAGAGAGGAAGCAAGUAGCUAAAAUAUGUUAUGUUUGUUGUUUUUAUUGGUCUUAGUAUAUGUAACAUUUUGGAUGUUGUAAUGUUAGUUUAUAGUUUGGACAAGUUGUUUUAGUGUAAUUAUGUGAUCAUGUAAUGACAUUUUGGUGGAGCUAUAUAUAAGACUUAAGUUCUCAUUU